rnacentral:rRNA from 1 species
UAGUGGCAAACGGGUGAGUAACACGUGAGUAACCUGCCCUUAACUCUGGGAUAAGCCUUGGAAACGGGGUCUAAUACUGGAUAUUGACUUUACCUCGCAUGGGGUUUGGUUGAAAGAUUUAUUGGUUUUGGAUGGACUCGCGGCCUAUCAGCUUGUUGGUGAGGUAAUGGCUCACCAAGGCGACGACGGGUAGCCGGCCUGAGAGGGUGACCGGCCACACUGGGACUGAGACACGGCCCAGACUCCUACGGGAGGCAGCAGUGGGGAAUAUUGCACAAUGGGCGAAAGCCUGAUGCAGCGACGCCGCGUGAGGGAUGACGGCCUUCGGGUUGUAAACCUCUUUCAGUAGGGAACAAGGCCAGCAUUUUUGUUGGUUGAGGGUACUUGCAGAAGAAGCGCCGGCUAACUACGUGCCAGCAGCCGCGGUAAUACGUAGGGCGCAAGCGUUAUCCGGAAUUAUUGGGCGUAAAGAACUCGUAAGCGGUUUGUCCGCGUCUGCCGUGAAAGUCCUGGGCUCAACUCCGGAUCUGCGGUGGGUACGGGCACACUAAGAGUGAUGUAGGGGAGACUGGAAUUGCCUGGUGUACCGGGUGAA